CCUAUAUUAACAUCUGGGUCACAUAGCCACUUCCUGUCAUCCAAGCUCUGGCUGUUGCUGAUCUGCUGUGGCUGGCUGCAUUUCUGAUUGCUGUCUUUUUAAACCUUAAACCAAACGUCUGCAUAACAUCGAACUGGAUCAACCAGACUUUUGAACAAACAACUCUUCGGUCAGGUUUUUUUUUCUCCCACUUCUAUCCCUGAUUGGAACCACUUCUGAUCUUUUGGCGCAUGGUGAGCCACCCACGAUCCAUCAAUGAGAACUUGAUCUACGAACCUAUGAAAAAGGAAUCUUCACAAAGAACUCAUACCAAUAGGAAAAAAAGGAACUUUAAAAACCAAAGACAGAAAAAUACCCUUGUGGAGUUCUGGACAUUCCAUUCUCCACCGGCCCAACUUAUUGUAUAUUUGUUUUAUGUGUUUUAACACAGUCAAUUUAUUACUUUAUUCUUGUGUUGCGUUUUCCAUUCGCACACUCGUGGCUCCUUGAGUCGAACACAUCUUCUGUAGGGCAGAGCAAGCAAGAUCUCUGGAUGCUGCUUUCACCAUGUUCUGCCACGCCACUGCACCGUUACAGUAAAGUUUUGGUUCCACCCAUUCCUUUCUCAGCCGGCUCUGGUGGAUCUGCCAGUUCGGUUCAGUUUUAUUUAUAUCGCCCAAUAUUGCAUCACAGUUGUCUCUCUUCACUAAUUGUACAAAACAUAAAAUCUGUUAUAAAAAUGUGUGUUGGGCACUAUUGUUUGGACGUCAGAAUUUUUUUGCGGCGGAACAUAAACAAAUUGCGCUUCGGGACCGCAUAUCCGUGGGUCUUGCGUCACCUACGUGAACUUAAUCCAUUUGAAGACAUAAUUAUUGUUGUUAACGGCUUUUUUAACGUCUUAAAAGAACGGUAAUGCUGCCCGGACAUUGACGCAUUUUGCACAUGCGACCAGUACAGAUUGGAUACCUACACCUGCCUUUCUCUGCAACUGUGAUCAGAUAUGUUGAAGAAUGGAGAAAUGCAUGUAAAAUUGAUGUAAUGCCUCCAUUCGAUGGGCGUAUAUGCAAUAGGUGUGUCCUGAACUGGAAAUUGCUAAUCAGCUUCACAAUUUCUAGUCUGAAAAUAUGACUUAAGAUUGUUCAGAAGCAGCUCAGAGGUUUAUGUAUGAAUGUCUAC